AAAUUGAAGAGUUUGAUCAUGGCUCAGAUUGAACGCUGGCGGCAGGCCUAACACAUGCAAGUCGAGCGGUAGCACAGAGAGCUUGCUCUCGGGUGACGAGCGGCGGACGGGUGAGUAAUGUCUGGGAAACUGCCUGAUGGAGGGGGAUAACUACUGGAAACGGUAGCUAAUACCGCAUAAUGUCGCAAGACCAAAGUGGGGACCUUCGGGCCUCAUGCCAUCAGAUGUGCCCAGAUGGGAUUAGCUAGUAGGUGGGGUAACGGCUCACCUAGGCGACGAUCCCUAGCUGGUCUGAGAGGAUGACCAGCCACACUGGAACUGAGACACGGUCCAGACUCCUACGGGAGGCAGCAGUGGGGAAUAUUGCACAAUGGGCGCAAGCCUGAUGCAGCCAUGCCGCGUGUGUGAAGAAGGCCUUCGGGUUGUAAAGCACUUUCAGCGGGGAGGAAGGCGAUAAGGUUAAUAACCUCAUCGAUUGACGUUACCCGCAGAAGAAGCACCGGCUAACUCCGUGCCAGCAGCCGCGGUAAUACGGAGGGUGCAAGCGUUAAUCGGAAUUACUGGGCGUAAAGCGCACGCAGGCGGUCUGUCAAGUCGGAUGUGAAAUCCCCGGGCUCAACCUGGGAACUGCAUUCGAAACUGGCAGGCUAGAGUCUUGUAGAGGGGGUAGAAUUCCAGGUGUAGCGGUGAAAUGCGUAGAGAUCUGGAGGAAUACCGGUGGCGAAGGCGGCCCCUGGACAAAGACUGACGCUCAGGUGCGAAAGCGUGGGGAGCAAACAGGAUUAGAUACCCUGGUAGUCCACGCCGUAAACGAUGUCGAUUUGGAGGUUGUGCCCUUGAGGCGUGGCUUCCGGAGCUAACGCGUUAAAUCGACCGCCUGGGGAGUACGGCCGCAAGGUUAAAACUCAAAUGAAUUGACGGGGGCCCGCACAAGCGGUGGAGCAUGUGGUUUAAUUCGAUGCAACGCGAAGAACCUUACCUGGUCUUGACAUCCACAGAACUUUCCAGAGAUGGAUUGGUGCCUUCGGGAACUGUGAGACAGGUGCUGCAUGGCUGUCGUCAGCUCGUGUUGUGAAAUGUUGGGUUAAGUCCCGCAACGAGCGCAACCCUUAUCCUUUGUUGCCAGCGGUCCGGCCGGGAACUCAAAGGAGACUGCCAGUGAUAAACUGGAGGAAGGUGGGGAUGACGUCAAGUCAUCAUGGCCCUUACGACCAGGGCUACACACGUGCUACAAUGGCAUAUACAAAGAGAAGCGACCUCGCGAGAGCAAGCGGACCUCAUAAAGUAUGUCGUAGUCCGGAUUGGAGUCUGCAACUCGACUCCAUGAAGUCGGAAUCGCUAGUAAUCGUAGAUCAGAAUGCUACGGUGAAUACGUUCCCGGGCCUUGUACACACCGCCCGUCACACCAUGGGAGUGGGUUGCAAAAGAAGUAGGUAGCUUAACCUUCGGGAGGGCGCUUACCACUUUGUGAUUCAUGACUGGGGUGAAGUCGUAACAAGGUAACCGUAGGGGAACCUGCGGUUGGAUCACCUCCUUA
rnacentral:rRNA from 1 species